UACGAAGGGGGCUAGCGUUGCUCGGAAUCACUGGGCGUAAAGGGUGCGUAGGCGGGUCUUUAAGUCAGGGGUGAAAUCCUGGAGCUCAACUCCAGAACUGCCUUUGAUACUGAGGAUCUUGAGUUCGGGAGAGGUGAGUGGAACUGCGAGUGUAGAGGUGAAAUUCGUAGAUAUUCGCAAGAACACCAGUGGCGAAGGCGGCUCACUGGCCCGGUACUGACGCUGAGACGCGAAAGCGUGGGGAGCGAACAGG
rnacentral:rRNA from 1 species